UACGUAGGGGGCAAGCGUUGUCCGGAUUUAUUGGGCGUAAAGAGCGUGUAGGCGGCCACACAGGUCUGCUGUGAAAACUCGAGGCUCAACCUCGAGCUGUCGGUGGAAACCGUGUGGCUAGAGUCCGGGAGAGGAGAGUGGAAUUCCUGGUGUAGCGGUGAAAUGCGCAGAUAUCAGGAAGAACACCCGUGGCGAAAGCGGCUCUCUGGAACGGUACUGACGCUGAGACGCGAAAGCGCGGGGAGCGAACGGG
rnacentral:rRNA from 1 species